UGGGGAAUAUUGCACAAGGGGCGCAAGCCUACUGCAGCCAUGCCGCGUGUAUGAAGAAGGCCUUCGGGUUGUAAAGUACUUUCAGUCGGGAGGAAGGUGGUAAGGUUAAUAACCUUAUCAAUUGACGUUAGCGACAGAAGAAGCACCGGCUAACUCCGUGCCAGCAGCCGCGGUAAUAAGUAGGUGGCAAGCGUUGUCCGGAUUUAUUGGGCGUAAAGCGAGCGCAGGCGGUUUCUUAAGUCUGAUGUGAAAGCCCCCGGGUCAACCGGGGAAGGUCAUUGGAAACUGGGAGGGUUGAGUUCAGUGGGGGGGAGUGCGAUUCCAUGUGUAGCGGUGAAAUGGGUUGAUAUAUGGAGGGACACCAGUGGCGAAGGCGGCUCUAUGGUCUGUAACUGACGCUGAGGCUAGAAAGCGGGGGGAGCAAACAGG
rnacentral:rRNA from 1 species